rnacentral:rRNA from 1 species
GAAACUCAAAGGAAUUGACGGGGACCCGCACAAGCGGUGGAUGAUGUGGUUUAAUUCGAUGCAACGCGAAAAACCUUACCCACCUUUGACAUGUACGGAAGUGACCAGAGAUGGACAUGUGCUCGAAAGAGAACCGUAACACAGGUGCUGCAUGGCUGUCGUCAGCUCGUGUCGUGAGAUGUUGGGUUAAGUCCCGCAACGAGCGCAACCCUUGCCAUUAGUUGCUACAUUUAGUUGGGCACUCUAAUGGGACUGCCGGUGACAAACCGGAGGAAGGUGGGGAUGACGUCAAGUCCUCAUGGCCCUUAUAGGUGGGGCUACACACGUCAUACAAUGGCUGGUACAAAGGGUUGCCAACCCGCGAGGGGGAGCUAAUCCCAUAAAGCCAGUCGUAGUCCGGAUCGCAGUCUGCAACUCGACUGCGUGAAGUCGGAAUCGCUAGUAAUCGUGGAUCAGAAUGUCACGGUGAAUACGUUCCCGGGUCUUGUACACACCGCCCGUCACACCAUGGGAGCGGGUCUCGCCAGAAGUAGGUAGCCUAACCGCAAGG